rnacentral:rRNA from 1 species
UUCGUAGGGGGCAAGCGUUGUCCGGAAUUAUUGGGCGUAAAGAGCGCGUAGGCGGUCCGAUAAGUCGGCUGUGAAAGUCAGGGGCUCAACCCUUGAAAGCCGGCCGAUACUGUCGGACUAGAGUCCGGAAGAGGCAAGUGGAAUUCCCGGUGUAGCGGUGAAAUGCGCAGAUAUCGGGAGGAACACCAAUGGCGAAGGCAGCUUGCUGGGACGGUACUGACGCUGAGGCGCGAAAGCGUGGGGAGCAAACAGG